rnacentral:rRNA from 1 species
AUUGAACGCUGGCGGCAGGCCUAACACAUGCAAGUCGAGCGGCGCGGCGGACGGGUGAGUAAUGCCUAGGAAUCUGCCUGGUAGUGGGGGAUAACGUCCGGACACGGGCGCUAAUACCGCAUACUAUCAGAUGAGCCUAGGGCGGAUGAGCUAGUUGGUGGGGUAAAGGCCUACCACGGCGACGAUCCGUAACUGGUCUGAGAGGAUGAUCAGUCAAACUGGGACUGAGACACGGUCCAGCCUCCUACGGGAGGCAGCAUUGGGGAAUAUUGGACAAUGGGCGAAAGUCUGAUCCAGCCAUGCCGCGUGUGUGAAGAAGGUCUUCGGAUUGUAAAGCACUUUAAGUUGGGAGGCGGUACCAACAGAAUAAGCACCGGCUAACUUCGUGCCAGCAGCCGCGGUAAUAC